CUUGCCUCUGGAGGAGACUCGCAGCCUUGCCUGAAGCAGUGGAGGCCUGAACAUGGGGUCAGGGACAGGGAGUCGGUGCGUUUUGGGUACAACGAUCCAGCGAGCCAAGUGCCUAGAGUUGCAGCACUGACAAGACUCAAAAGCUGCACCUCUAAAACUGCAUCAUUGUUGGUUGGCUUCAUGGGGCAAAACAUAUCCUCAGGGUGGCUGUCCUGUCUACAUGGUGCUGUGCAGAGAGAUGUAGCUUCAGUCCCUUUUUCGUAGUAGUGGUUCUUAUGCAUCACAGCCCUAAAAUAACCGCCUUUCACAGUCCUGCUUCCCUCUACCUGCAAACAUAAGGCACACUCGUGUAACAGGAGCUUUAAUCAGGGAUAAGGUAAAGAGAGUGCUACAGGAAAGCAUUUCCCUUUGCCAAGGCUCAGCCUAGCAGCUCUUUUUGAGAGCAGGUGCCUGCAUAGAGCCUAUUUCAGUUCUUCCAAGUAAUUAAUUAUUGUCUCCUGUGUGUGGCCCUGGGAGGAAGAAGUCCAAGCACCUCCCUUCUCCUGUCAUUCUGUAUCUGCAGUGAUCAGAGCACUUGCCUAGAAGCUGGAAAUACGGCUCCUGGUUCUUUUCCCAGAACUUUGUAUUUUGUUCUCUGACAAACAUUCGAUGUAAAGCACAGUGAGCAAACUGAGAAGGGGACUGAAAUCCAAGGUUGUUCCUCUCCCUUCCCUGUGGCAAUGUUAUUACUGCUAGGUCAUGGCCUCUCCUAGAUUGCUCCCGUGAAUCCUGAAUCCCCACCCUCUCCCCCAGGCAGCAGUACGGGUUCAACAGGCUGGUUGAAAAUGGGAGUGCAUGUUAGGCUAGUCUCCCUCUCAGUGGAUAUUCUUCAGGCUAGCCUACCUCCUGGCUAAGAUACUCUUCAGGAAGGUCAGAAGGAGUCAUCUGAACCCCACUGGGCUGAAGGGGGAGAAGUUGACCUUGGGUCUCCUGCUAUGGAUUCACACAGAGGAGGGAAGAAUUUCUCCCCCCUGGGGAGUUGAGAAAGGGUUCAACGGGGUUGGUGAAGUGUUAAGCAAAAGCAGUCAGCGGCUCAGCACAUGGUGGGGAAGUCAAUGAUAAGCAUUUGCAGCUGGUUCUCUCCCACCCUGAAGGAACUGAGUGGCUGCUGACUCAGGAGCUGCAGCAAGUCAGAGGAAUGGGAAAGGGGCCACAUUUCCUGAGUGUUUGAGACAUGCCACAUCUAGCAAUGCUAUAGAGAUGGGUACCUCAUACCUGCUGUUGCAUCUUGGAAGAGCAAUUGUAGCAGUGUGCCGUAAGGAGCUGGAGCUCACUGUAAACAGGGAAGACUGUGGAGGAACUGUAGCUGAGAUCUGACAGAUGUUCAAGUACGUGAAGCUUAAAGAGGAACGUAUGCUAUUCAGUUUGCUCACAGAGGCUUUGUGACCUGUGUCUUCGCAGUAAUGAUGACACAAGCUUUUUCGAAUAAAAGGAAGAAAUUAACUGCCUCUGCUAAUUGUACCCUUGCUAGCUAGCUAACCAAGGACACCAUUUGACUGUGAAAACUGUUGGUGCCCCCAAAUCUCUCAGCUGGCGAGAGUAUCUUAAGUGAGAGUGUUCUCAUAUCUGUGGGUUAGAAGGGCUAUUUUAAAAUCUUCCUAAUUGGAAAAUGAAACCCUAUUGCUUCAAAACAGUGGUGCACAGCUUUGAAAAAUUAAGACCAUAUGGAAUCGUUUAUUAGUUUUCAAUAUGUAUUCAAUUUCUGGUGCAAUUUUAUGUACUCGCUAAUGCAUGAAGUCUUUUGGAGCGGGAAUAAAGCACCACAAAGCAUGAUUUAAUGCCA